rnacentral:rRNA from 17 species
ACAGGGAUUGCCCUAGUAACGGCGAGUGAAGCGGCAACAGCUCAAAUUUGAAAUCUGGCUCUUUUAGAGUCCGAGUUGUAAUUUGCAGAGGGCGCUUUGGCUUUGGCAGCGGUCCAAGUUCCUUGGAACAGGACGUCACAGAGGGUGAGAAUCCCGUACGUGGUCGCUGGCUAUUGCCGUGUAAAGCCCCUUCGACGAGUCGAGUUGUUUGGGAAUGCAGCUCUAAAUGGGAGGUACAUUUCUUCUAAAGCUAAAUAUUGGCCAGAGACCGAUAGCGCACAAGUAGAGUGAUCGAAAGAUGAAAAGCACUUUGGAAAGAGAGUCAAACAGCACGUGAAAUUGUUAAAAGGGAAGCGCUUGCAGCCAGACUUGCUUACAGUUGCUCAUCCGGGCUUUUGCCCGGUGCACUCUUCUGUAGGCAGGCCAGCAUCAGUUUGGGCGGUAGGAUAAAGGUCUCUGUCACGUACCUCCUUUCGGGGAGGCCUUAUAGGGGAGACGACAUACUACCAGCCUGGACUGAGGUCCGCGCAUCUGCUAGGAUGCUGGCGUAAUGGCUGUAAGCGGCCCGUCUUGAAACACGGACCAAGGAGUCUAACAUCUAUGCGAGUGUUUGGGUGUCAAGCCCGAGCGCGUAAUGAAAGUGAACGGAGGUGGGAACCCGCAAGGGUGCACCAUCGACCGAUCCUGAUGUCUUCGGAAGGAUUUGAGUAAGAGCAUGGCUGUUGGGACCCGAAAGAUGGUGAACUAUGCUUGAAUAGGGUGAAGCCAGAGGAAACUCUGGUGGAGGCUCGCAGCGGUUCUGACGUGCAAAUCGAUCGUCAAAUUUGGGCAUAGGGGCGAAAGACUAAU